AAUAGCUCAGUUGGUAGAGCAUCCGGCUGUUAACCGGCAGGUCGCAGGUUCAAGUCCUGCU
rnacentral:tRNA from 1 species